GAUGAACGCUGGCGGCGUGCCUAAUACAUGCAAGUCGAGCGAACAGACGAGGAGCUUGCUCCUCUGACGUUAGCGGCGGACGGGUGAGUAACACGUGGAUAACCUACCUACAAGACUGGGAUAACUUCGGGAAACCGGAGCUAAUACCGGAUAAUAUAUUGAACCGCAUGGUUCAAUAGUGAAAGACGGUUUUGCUGUCACUUAUAGAUGGAUCCGCGCCGCAUUAGCUAGUUGGUAAGGUAACGGCUUACCAAGGCGACGAUGCGUAGCCGACCUGAGAGGGUGAUCGGCCACACUGGAACUGAGACACGGUCCAGACUCCUACGGGAGGCAGCAGUAGGGAAUCUUCCGCAAAGGGCGAAAGCCUGACGGAGCAACGCCGCGUGAGUGAUGAAGGUCUUCGGAUCGUAAAACUCUGUUAUUAGGGAAGAACAAAUGUGUAAGUAACUAUGCACGUCUUGACGGUACCUAAUCAGAAAGCCACGGCUAACUACGUG
rnacentral:rRNA from 1 species